rnacentral:sRNA from 1 species
AUAUAAAGGUCAAAAGUCUUUUUACAUGAUAUGCUUGCAUAUCAGUGGGAGAAAGACUUUAUGGCCCGCCCACACAUGAGCAAGUAGUGAUUUUCCUUAGAAAAUCAACGGAUUGCGAAUGUGUGUAGAAUUGCGCAGGUUGCAUUGCAACGGAGCAAUUCGU